rnacentral:piRNA from 1 species
UGAUAAUGCUUGCGGUUCUAAAACCUUUC